rnacentral:rRNA from 1 species
CCUACGGGGUGCAGCAGUGAGGAAUAUUGGUCAAUGGGCGGAAGCCUGAACCAGCCAAGUAGCGUGCGGGAUGAAGGCCCUACGGGUCGUAAACCGCUUUUGCACGGGGAUAACACCCUCCACUUGUGGAGGUCUGCAGGUACCGUGCGAAUAAGGGCCGGCUAAUUCCGUGCCAGCAGCCGCGGUAAUACGGAAGGCCCGAGCGUUAUCCGGAUUUAUUGGGUUUAAAGGGUGCGUAGGCGGGAUGCCAAGUCAGCGGUAAAAAUGCGUUGCUCAACGCCGUCGAGCCGUUGAAACUGGCGUUCUUGAGUGGGCGAGAAGUAUGCGGAAUGCGUGGUGUAGCGGUGAAAUGCAUGGAUAUCACGCAGAACUCCGAUUGCGAAGGCAGCAUACCGGCGCCCUACUGACGCUGAGGCACGAAAGCGUGGGUAUCGAACAGGAUUAGAUACCCGUGUAGUC